rnacentral:rRNA from 1 species
GCAUAACGCGAAGAACCUUACCUACUCUUGACAUCUAGCGAAGAUUGCAGAGAUGCAGUUGUGCCUUCGGGAACGCUAAGACAGGUGCUGCAUGGCUGUCGUCAGCUCGUGUUGUGAAAUGUUGGGUUAAGUCCCGCAACGAGCGCAACCCUUAUCCUUAGUUGCCAGCACGUAAUGGUGGGAACUCUAGGGAGACUGCCGGUGAUAAACCGGAGGAAGGUGGGACGACGGUCAAGUCAUCAUGGCCCUUACGAGUAGGGCUACACACGUGCUACAAUGGUACGUACAGAGGGAGGCAAGCUGGCGACAGUGAGCGGAUCUCUUAAAGCGUAUCGUAGUCCGGAUCGCAGUCUGCAACUCGACUGCGUGAAGUCGGAAUCGCUAGUAAUCGCAAAUCAGAAUGUUGCGG